UCCGUAGGUGAACCUGCGGAAGGAUCAUUACCGAGUUGAUUCGAGCUCCGGCUCGACUCUCCCACCCAAUGUGUACCUACCUCUGUUGCUUUGGCGGGCCGCGGUCCUCCGCACCGGCGCCCUUCGGGGGGCUGGCCAGCGCCCGCCAGAGGACCAUAAAACUCCAGUCAGUGAACUUCGCAGUCUGAAAAACAAGUUAAUAAACUAAAACUUUCAACAACGGAUCUCUUGGUUCUGGCAUCGAUGAAGAACGCAGCGAAAUGCGAUAAGUAAUGUGAAUUGCAGAAUUCAGUGAAUCAUCGAAUCUUUGAACGCACAUUGCGCCCCUUGGUAUUCCGAGGGGCAUGCCUGUUCGAGCGUCAUUUCAACCCUCAAGCUCUGCUUGGUAUUGGGCCCCGUCCUCCACGGACGCGCCUUAAAGACCUCGGCGGUGGCGUCUUGCCUCAAGCGUAGUAGAAAAACACCUCGCUUUGGAGCGCACGGCGUCGCCCGCCGGACGAACCUUUGAAUUAUUUCUCAAGGUUGACCUCGGAUCAGGUAGGGAUACCCGCUGAACUUAAGCAUAUCAAUAAGCGGAGGA
rnacentral:rRNA from 1 species